AGCCUCUCAGCGUCGCACCUGGAGAGUUCCCAGUACUCUAACAGUCUCGACUAUGGGAGGGAAAGUCAAGCAGAGGCCUCCUCAUUCCAUUCUGAGCUUGAACGGGUGCUAGCGAGUGGAAGACAAUCUGCUACAUGU
rfam:Ornithorhynchus anatinus chromosome 3, whole genome shotgun sequence.